UCCUAUCUAUACCAAUAGAUCCUCCAUCCUCACCUUUUAUAUGAUGAAACUUUCUGUCCUAUCAAAUUUCUCAAACCCUAUCUUCACCCCACUGCCCCCCAUGAUCAACCCCGAUCAACAAACAGCAAACCAGAUGGAUCUGAAAAAUGCCUGAUGUAGGGAUGGUGGACAGCAGCCCCCAGAUUACUUUCUUUCUUACAAAGCCCAGAGAAAACCCUAGAUCUGAAAUCUUCUUGUUGAUCUCUGCUGUCGAUAAUUCCUUG
rnacentral:lncRNA from 1 species